UUCUUAGUUUCGAAAAGAAGAAAAAUAAGAAAGUGAAGAGUGAGGGCAACAUGUGACGAUCAUGAGUAAAGGGAGGUUAGAAAAUGUGUUUUACUUUAAUAUGUUAGCAGUUUCUUUAAGUGUUGGGUGGUUGAGAAUCUCUUGAUUUCUUUUGUUUUAUAGUAAAGUUUGGUUUUAGUCUGGUAGAUUUAUUUUCACUACGCC
rnacentral:lncRNA from 1 species